rnacentral:rRNA from 1 species
UGAGGAACAUGACCUUCGGCGGGGGAGUAGCCGGCCCAACGGCCGGGUAAUACCGCGUACGACCACUUUGGGACAUCCCUCGGUGGUGAAAGCAGCAAUGCGCCGACGGAGUGCCUCGCGGCCUAUCAGCUAGUUGGUGAGGUAACGGCUCACCAAGGCGACGACGGGUAGCUGGUCUGAGAGGAUGGCCAGCCACAUUGGGACUAGACGACCGGACCCGACGACCGUACCGUACCGGGACGGACGACG